rnacentral:rRNA from 1 species
UUAAGGAGUUAUAGUACUUCCCCAGUAGGCCCAAAUCCCCUAAAGGCAUUAUAUCAUAUAUGAUCUUGGAAGCUAAGCAAAGUUAGCUGGGAUUAAUAUGUGGAUGGGAGACCACUACUAAAUGUCAUAGAUUUCAAAGG